UACGUAGGGUGCAAGCGUUAAUCGGAAUUACUGGGCGUAAAGCGUGCGCAGGCGGUCCGUUAAGACAGAUGUGAAAUCCCCGGGCUUAACCUGGGAACUGCAUUGAGGACUGGAAGGCUAGAGUACGGCAGAGGGGGGUGGAAUUCCACGUGUAGCAGUGAAAUGCGUAGAGAUGUGGAGGAACACCGAUGGCGAAGGCAGCCCCCUGGGCCUGUACUGACGCUCAUGCACGAAAGCGUGGGGAGCAAACAGG
rnacentral:rRNA from 1 species